GUAUGAUCGAACAAUAAUUUUUGCCCAUCAAAUGGCAUAAAAUAAAAUCUCAGUGUGCUUUUAAUUUGCAUUUUCUAUGUUUAAGAAUUGUUUCUUUUUUAACCAUUUAUAAUUUACUUUUGCUGAAAUGCUUGCUUAUUAUUUUUGCUCCCCAUUUUUUCCUAUUGGAUUGCUUUUCUCAUUAAUUUAUAAGAAUUUUAUAUGGUUUAGAUACUAAUUAUUAUAUUACUGAAAAUACCUUUAUCAGUUUGUUGUGUACUUUCUACUUUAUGUCUUGUGAUGGAUAAAAGUUUUAAAUUGUAUUGUGUUGAAGUUAACAUUUUUAAAUUUUAUAAUCAGCAUCUUUAAUAAUCUCUUUAUAAAAUUUUCCUUUACAUAGAUGUCAUAAAGAUACAUCUCUAUAAUUUCUUAUUUUUUUGGCAUAUGUUCAUUAAGUCAUUUUAUCAUUUUUUAGUAAUAAAUUGCAGUUAUUUAUGAAACAAAUAAUUUUUAAAAUUAUAUAUGCUUUCUUUAAAAAUUGAUCUUAGCAUGCUUCACUAUGAAGCUUGAGGCUUCACUGCACGUUGUACUGAAAUUAUGUAUAAAACAGUGGUUCUGAAAAUCUCUGAGUUCAUGACACCUUUAGUGUCUCAGGUUUUUUUGCUUUUGUUCUUGUUUUUUCUCACAAAGCACCUAAGUUAAAUAAAAACAAAGCACAAAGCUAUCAGCUUCAUGUAUUAAGUAGUAAGCUCCCAUGUUAACAGUUGUAACUUGCCUGGUGCCCAAUAGAUGUCACUCUGUUUUCCUAGAAACUUUAAAAUAUCCCUCAGUGCUCCUGUUAAUUCAUGGUAGUGCCCCAAGGCACUCUGGCACCCAGUUUUGGAACUGCAGUUUUAAAAGUCAUAAAUUGAAUGAAAAUGAUAGCAAAGGUGGAGGUUUUUAAAGAGCUAUUUAUAGGUCCCUGGACAGCAUCUUUUUUCAAUUAGGCAGCAACCUUUUUGCCCUAUGCCGUAACCUGUGUCUGCAACUUCCUCUAAUUGGGAAAUAGUUAAGCAGAUUCAUAGAGCUGAAUGAUAAAAUUGUACUACGAGAUGCACUGGGACUCAACGUGACCUUAUCAAGUGAGAUGGAGUCUUGCCCUGUCUCCAAGGCUGGAGCCCAAUGGUGUGAUCUUGGCUCACUGCAACCUCCACCUCCCAGGUUCAAACGUUUCUCCUGCCUCAGCCUCCCAAGUAACUGGGAUUACAGGUACCCACCACCAUGCCCAGCUAAUUUUUUGUAUUUUUAGUAGAGAUGGGGUUUCACCAUGGUGGCCAGGCUUAGUCUCAAACUCCUGGCCUCAUGUCUGCCUGCCUUGGCCUCCCAAAGUGCUGAAAUUACAGGUGUGAGCCACUGUGCCCGGCCAACAUUUCUUAACCUAGUAGUUUAGUUUUUAUAGUUUUAUUACCGCAGUGAACGCUACACCAAAAAUUUCAUUUGAAUUAUUAACAUAAAAAGAAAUAAUUUUGUAUUAAACUUUUAAACUGAAUUUUCAAUAGCAUUCACAAUCAUAUUAAAUGUUUCACCUUUUACAGAAUAAACUUCCAUGAGCUUUAUUUGUUAACAUUUAUUGAUACACACAAUUAAUAAAGCAUGUAAGUAAUAAACUGAAAUUACUUAACUGGUUGAGAAAUUUUUUUUUUGCUAGGAGAACCAACACAUUAAGAGCAGUAUCUUCAAUUUUCAUACAUGAACAAGAAAACUUCGAAGCAAAAAUGAAUAUAUUUAAUUUAGAACAAUGAUUUUUAUUUGAAAAGUCACAUUGCACAGAGUGAUAUAUAAAUGAAUUUUCUGAAGAUAUAUGUGUUAAAUCAGGGCUUUCAGGCACAGUCUGCUUAAAACUUUGGAAAGAGAUACUAUUUUUUUUCAGUGCAUUUGUAUCUUCUAAUUUUCUCAUAGUAAUAUCACAGGGUCCCCAUAGGUGAUGCUGAAUAUGGGCAACUGGUUUUUUUUGUUUUUUUUUUUUUACCUGUUGUCUUAGCAUUCCCUAAAACAGGGGUCACCAAAUCCCAGGCCACCUAGUGGUUCUGGUCCAUGGCCUGUUAGGAACGAGGCCACACAGCAGGAGGUGAACGGCAGGUGAGCAAGAAUUACCACCUGAGCUCCACCUCCUGUCAGAUCAGUGGUGACAUUAGAUUUUCAUGAGUGUGAAUCCUACUGUGAACUGUGCAUGUGAGAGAUCUAAGUUACACGUUCCUUAUGAGAAUCUAAUGCCUGAUGAUCUGAGGUGGAACAGUUUCAUCCUGAAACCAUCCGCCUGCCCUGUCCAUGGAAAAAUCGUUUUCCACAAAACCAGUUCCUUCUGCCAAAAAGGUUGGGGACUGUUGCCCUAAAACACAAACCCUAGGCAAAAUUUUUACAGUAACUAUUUUAUUGAUUGUGCAACCCAAGAAAUUCUUGAGGUUGGGAAGAGGAUGAGAAGUUAGUAGGGGAAGGAGGGACAACAAAUAUAAGGAGUGGCAUUGUUAGACAGGUCAGAACUUUGAGACAAUUGCUCUGUCUAGUGAGCCAUCUUCAAAGGGGUUGCUUCUCUGACUGUUUACCUUGGGAGAAGCAGGGAGAAAAAUAAUAUCUAAAUAAUAUCUAAAUAACACUGAAGGCUUGUCUCAUGCCUUCAGUGUUCACCCCAGACAGCAUUAAUUACUGCAGCAUCUUAUACUUCAGCAGUAUUCAGGAACCCAGGGAAAGAAAAGGAAGGACUUCCAAUGUAGGUUGAAAGUGAGGCACCCAUAGGGCAUAUCCAGCAAGGUUUUCAGUCUGUUGAAAUGAGAGUGGGCACAGAAUGGGAAUAUUACCAGCCACUGAGUGCCACCCAAUUUAGAAAGCAAAGCAAGUGUGCAGAGAUGGGUAAUGCAUAAUCUGAAUUUGGUACAAUCCAUUCAUAGUGCAGGUCAGAUCUGCUCACACUGUACUACGAUAUUCAAUUCUCACCUUCGAUUCUUCCCUGAGAAGAAGCAUAAAAAUUUAAUCUUUAAGUAUUAUUGUUAACUGCUGCCUCCUUAAACAAACAGCACACAGACAACUUUAUAUUAUGUUAUCCAAUGAAGUUACAGCUGGCCACCUUCAGCUAUAAUUUUGGGUCUUGCUGAAUGGGGUGAUCCAGACCUUGGAUUUAGGGGUUAUUAUUCCUAAGUUACUUUGAGCUUCUGGACAUGUGUUCUAUGCGGUUAACAUUUUUUUAUUAUCACUGAAUACAAAAGCACCAAGACAUAUCCCAGUGAAUCUACUGGGUUCCAGACAUAUUUCUUUUUGCCCUCACUAUGUAGUAGCAACUAUAGCUUCUCAUGAUUAUCAAGAUCGAUGACUCCCACUAGUACAUUCCAUCUGCACCAGGAUUAGGAGCUCAAGGUAGUUCAUACAUUUCUUCUCCACUUGGAAAAUAACAUCUCUAAACUAGCAAAGUCUAAGGCAGGGUGGAAAGCACUAUAUUUUGAGCAUGGGAAUAUGUUAAAAAUAACUGGGAAUAAUGGCAAGCAGGGGAUCCCACUUCUACUCCUUACCUCCCAGACCUAUGCUUCAGUGCAUAUAGUGUACACUAGAAGACAACACCCUGGGAUUUUUUCUCUGAGCUGGCUCCUUAACUGAGUCUUCAUUCUAUCAGUGUAGUAGAAUACUAGUAGUAAGCCCCACGAAUCUUGUGAUUACCUAUGCAUCAACAUACCUCCUUUGUGAUAAAGCAGGCUCCUUGUUCUAAAGCAAUCCCACAUGAAAUGCUCUGUUGAGAUAUCAGGCAUUUUUUAAGCCCUUAAAUGAUGGUGUUGAUUGAAAAACUGUGCAAAAAAAGGCAAACUCAUAUCCAGAAUGUGCAUUUGUUCUGAUAAGGACAAUCCUUAUUCCCUUUCUGGUGGAAG
rnacentral:lncRNA from 1 species